GAACAACAUCCUGGUGUUCAGAGUGGAAUAGUGUGUACAUUUGCUGCUGGGUCGGGACAACGAUGCUGAGGAUGUGGGGGACAAGCAUGACGCAGAAGGAGAGCACCAGCAUUAAUAUCGAGUUGGCCAAGCAACAGCACCAGUCUGGCCUGCAGGAGCCCCAAUACAGAACCAUCCUCUACCCUCCCCUGAUCCCUAGCUCCUCCCACUGGACCUCCGGCCUCAAAGGGUCAGCAUCGUUACACAAGUCUGUGCAAUAAAUCCUCAGCACGUCAAGUUUUCACGCGCUGUUAUGAACAACCGAAAUAUCCGUGUCGAGAUUUCCCCAAGCAAGCCCGAGUAGUUUUGUUUAGCUCUAGUGCCAGAGUGGGAUGAGUGUUACAGAAGCGAGACGUUAUAGCAGUACUUAUGGUAACGCUAACAGUUAACGCUAACAGUUAGUUCCUGCUGUGUACAUCACGAAGAAUCUCAUGAAGAAUUAAACGUUGAAUAAUUUGUUUAAUUCUUUAUAAGACAGCUAUAUAUUCAGCAAGGAACGAGAGAAAAAAAGGAACAAUUGAAAUGAUUCAUUCAGAAGUAUAUCUGCUGUAGAUAGUUAGGACAGUAGUAGCGUUACAGACUGUCCUCAGCGCACAAUAUAUUCAUGUGGUGCACCACAGACCAAAUUCCCCCCAUUAUUGAAAACAAGUUGCUAAAAGUAAACACGUCCGGUUUUGCACUCCGAGCCCAAAGGGCAUUGCAUUGAAUUGAGACUAAAGAAGGCUUAAAAACAUGACACCAGUUUUGUUGUAUGCUCCAGUACACCCUUCGACUCUCAGCCCGAAGUUAAUCAGAACUCAAACUCGGCCCUUAACAAUAUCCGCGAGGCCAGCAUAUCAGCUCAGCUUCUGAGCUUCAGGUGAGACCUUACAGUGUUAGUAACUUUGUCAAAGAUUGGGCUUAAAUUCAGCCCCAUUCCUCAAAAACUAUAUCAAAGUCACUAUAUCAAAGGUCAAGGUCACAGUGACCCGAAAUAGUUAAAUGGUUUCCGGAUGAUAACUCAAGAACGCUUAUGCCUAGGAUCAUGAAACUUCAUAGGUACACUAUUCAUGACUGGCAGAUGACCCCUUUUGAUUUUCAGGUCACUAGGUCAAAGGUCAAGGGCACAGUGACAAAAAACAUAUUCACACAAUGGCUGUCACUCCAACGGAGAGCCCAUUUGGGGGAAAUGCAUGUUUUACAAACAGCCCUUGUUUUAUAAAUAUUUACUGGUUAAAAUUUACAAUGCAUUAUUUGCCAAAAAAAGUGUUUGAUAGGUUGCAACAAUGAGUUACUUGCCUAAUUAAGCUGUAUAAGUUGAAACUUAGUACAAUCAAAAUACAAAUCAAAAAUUAUAAAUUGUUAAGUAUUUGUGUUCACGUAUAACUGAUUAUGAUUUUUAUUUAAAUUAGAAACCGGAUUAGAAAUUUUGGAGGCAAAACACUGCGCACUAUACAUGGAAACCUACGGUAAUUCUCACAUUUAAAGUUGUAAAGUUUUGCAAUGAAAGUUGUUUUAGUCAAAACUAUUAAGGGGGAGAGUCUCGCACUUAAAAUUACUGAAGUCAUGCCUGUUUUUUUAAAUUUAUUUUUAUGCCCCCGGUAGGGUUGCAAAAUAGCAGUUGAACUGUCUGUCAGUCCGUCCGUCUGAAAACUUUAACAUAGGCCAUUACUUUUGCAAUAUUAAAAAUCAAAAUUUGAUAUUUGGCAUGCAUGUGUAUUUCAUGGAGUUGCAAAAUUUAAGUGGUGAAAGGUCAAAGUCAUCCUGAACAUAAAAGGUAAAAACAAACAAAUCCAAUGGAAGUAACACGCUUAAAAGGGAAAGAGAAUUUAUAUUUAUCAUUUGGCAGGUACAGAUCAUUUUUACAUGGGAAGUAAUAUUUGUAAAGGGGUGUAAUCAAAAACAAAAAUAUAUAAUCAAAUCGGCGCAGUAGGGGCAUUGUGUUUCUAACAAACACAUCUCUUGUUAAAAAAAGUAUUACACAUUGCUAUGAAAAAAUUUCUAUUUUCUUUUCAGCAAACACUAUAAGCCGCCAAGAUAAAAACAUCGUUGAAGUGAAAGUCUAUGACAAUCCUGACCCCUUCGCUUAUGUAAUUCAGCACAAAAACGUCUUGCGUCAGAGUAGCAAGUCCCCAAACAUCUUCUCCCAUGUUGGCCACAUCAACACUUCUUUCAGCGGAGCCUUGGCGAGUUCGACUUCCAUUUCAGCAUCGAUGUUGCUUAGCAACAAUUCAAUGCUGGGAAUCGACAAAUUGUUCCAGACGAGUCGCUUACACAGAAACUAUCUGAUCCAACAGAUAAAGCAGGUGUUGCAUGACUUGUCCCUUAUUGCGACUGACCUCGAUAAGUUGCUCUUGAAUAAUGUAAACCUUAUGCCAGUAUGCGAUUUACACCAUUUAACAACAGUUGUUGUUGAGAAUUCCCGGGUUUGAGGUGGCAACUUUUGCGUCGGGACUCGCUCCAUCUCUGUCUAUGGCCUGGUCAGAGCAGUAGCAGCAACAAGAACAACAAGUAGUAUCUGAGCGGUGCUCUGGGAUAUGGGGCUUCAUGUAUGUGCUUAAAGUGUCAUCCCAGAAUAUCCUGUGCAGAUUGCACAUACAUUAAGCCCUAUUAAAGUGUCAUCCCAGAUAAGCCUGUGCAGACUGCACAUACAUCAAGUCCUAUUAAAGUGUCAUCCCAGAUUAGCCUGUGCAGACUGCACAUACAUUAAGUCCUAUUAAAGUGUCAUCCCAGAUUAGCCUGUGCAGACUGCACAUACAUUAAGCCCUAUUAAAGUGUCAUCCCAGAUAAGCCUGUGCAGACUGCACAUACAUCAAGUCCUAUUAAAGUGUCAUCCCAGAUUAGCCUGUGCAGACUGCACAUAAAUAAAGUCCUAUUAAAGUGUCAUCCCAGAUUAGCCUGUGCAGACUGCACAUACAUUAAGUCCUAUUAAAGUGUCAUCCCAGAUUAGCCUGUGCAGACUGCACAUACAUUAAGUCCUAUUAAAGUGUCAUCCCAGAUUAGCCUGUGCAGACUGCACAUACAUCAAGUCCUAUUAAAGUGUCAUCCCAGAUUAGCCUGUGCAGACUGCACAUACAUCAAGUCCUAUUUAUCUGAGAAUUAGGCUCAUAUAGUUCACUUAACGUCAGUCCUUUUUCUGCCUGAUUGAGGAAAAGUUCCUAGCAUAAAAUGUGAAUUCUCUGAUUUUGAAUUUAUCAAACUUGGUAAAUAAAAAGCAAAUAAAAGUUAAUCUGAUAUCAGUUUUAAUCAAAGGUCAGGGCAUAGUUGUGUCUAUUUUACUGCUGAAAUUUAGCCCUUGAACAACAGUUUCUCCUUGCAAUAAAAAAAAUCCACUUUAAUUAUUAAAUUCUAUUAAAUUUAAGUAAAACAAUUAUUUAAUGCCUUCAGCACAUUAUAAAAUUAUUAUCUUCAUUUAUUUUCAAUAUUUAUUUAAAUUGCCAAAUUUUGUUUUAAGAGCUAGUUCCUAGCAAUCAUAGAUCAGUACCCUGCUGAAAAACAGGAUCCCUGGUCAGCUGGGUCCCAGAUGCCCAGCAACACUUCCUGGCCCAGGACCUUGGGGCAAAUGCUCAACAUGUCCUAUCUGCAUGGUGAAGCUAGUCUUAUUCUUGGGCUCCAAACUCUCCUGCUGUGGGGCCAAGAUUACCUCAUCCAUAAGAGGCCUUAUACUCACAAGUUCAGGCCCAGAGAACGGUGUUCCCGAACUACAACACAACCAGUACGUCUCAAUAGAGGACACCCUUCCUGAAAACCUCGCUGAGUGCGACUGCGCCAUACGUGACCCUUCAGUGAAAUGAGAUUCCAGGUGGAAUGUCAAACAGGUCAAGGGUCACCCUGCAAUGUUCAGUGCCAAGCGAUGAAAUCAUCCACCGUUACAUGUAGUUGGUUGAGGGUCACCCAAAACCACCCGGUGCCUUGCGAUGAAAACCUCCAACGGGACUGUGACCUUGCCCUUGUACUCACCUAAUGGUCAGGUAUAAGGUCACUUGGGCUUAGAUAGUCACUGCAGUAAGAACAUAUGACUUCACAAUAGGACAUCCGAGACUGCAAUGACGAAAUGAGUGUCCUCACUUCAGCAGUGGAGGCCAAUACACAAUACGAGAGUUUCCAGCGGCUUACCUUAUCUGAAAACCUGGGUGGCAGAGCAAUGAGUAUGUCCCAGGAGUAUUUGCAGUCAUCUCCAGAUUCUGAGAUCCCCAUGCUCCACAACCCUCAGUCUAUGAACAUCAUGCAGAGCAGACCUUGGACGUCCCUUGACGAAAUCAAACCAGCAAAUCAGAAGGACAGCCUGUUGCUACUGUUGUUAUCAUAUUAACCCCAUACCGAAGAAGCUCAGAGAUAUAAAUGCUGUUUAAGAUGUGCUAGUCUCUACAUACCCCGUGUCUGGUGUGAACAUGUACAAUUGAAUGUCUCUACAUACCCCAUGUCUGGUGUGAACAUGUACAAUUGAAGACCUCUACAUACGUCAUGUCUGGUGUGAACAUGUACAAUUGAAGGUCUCUACAUACUCCAUGUCUGGUGUGAACAUGUACAAUUGAAGGUCUCUACAUACUCCAUGUCUGGUGUGAACAUGUACAACUGAAGGUCUCUACAUACUCCAUGUCUGGUGUGAACAUGUACAAUUGAAGGUCUCUACAUACCCCAUGUCUGGUGUGAACAUGUCUCAUCUUUGAAAUUGGAAAAUUAGUGACUUGAUUCAGACAGAAAUCGCAUAAUGACAAAUCACAACAAAAAAUGGAAAGCCAGAAAGUCUUGUGGCCAGCAAUGUUUUUAUGUGACCAUCCAAGUUGUGUUCAAAGAAAAACAAUAGUUCAUGUUUUAUUGGAACUAUGAUGCUGUCAGUCAUUUUAUGUUGAAGGCUUUAAAUAACUAUAUUUAAAUAUAAUAAGAUUAAGAUUACUUGAUCAAAGAAAUAAUGUAAAAUAGUAUUUUAAGCGCAAAAUUUACAAGUCCAUCCAAUUACUGUGUCUGUUUUUUGACAUUUUAUUUUGAAAAUGUUAAGGAAAAUAUAAUGUAAGUAAAUAUAUGUCUAUGAAUGUUGAUUUUAACAUUUGUCAAAGCUGUUUAAAUGAUGCUGGUAACUUUGACAAAAUUUAAAGAAAUGUAUUAUUUUCAUGUAAUGAGACAUGCUUCAGUUUUUGUGUGGCUUAACCUGUAAUAUAGAGGUGGUAGUUACAAGAAUUGUUUAGCCAGAUGGAGAACGUUUAUGCUAUGGCUUUGAUACUCUUAAGUGUGCCCAUUGGUGUCAGGUUUUUAUCAAGAAUAUUGUUUAUUGUCUUACUAUUUCUUGAAAAUAUUGAUUAAUUUUAGACAAAAUCAUUUUAUCUUCCUUAAAUUGUCUAUUCUGUAGUAAAGACCAGUUAUUUAUUAAUUUGCAUAAAUAUGAUUUAAGAAUGACCUCUGUGUUGCUUAAAAUGCUUUAUUUGUUUUGAAACUUAGUACUUAAAAACGAAAAUAUGAGGUGUAGGAAUAAUGGCCAAAGUUAUGAUAAUUAUUUUUUUGUUUUUGUAAAGUUUAUUAUGCUUUAUAUGUUUGUGUAUAGGCAUUUAGAGGAACAGAUUAACUUGACCAAUAAUUCG